rnacentral:rRNA from 1 species
UACGAGGGGGGCGAGCGUUGUUCGGAAUUAUUGGGCGUAAAGGGUGCGUAGGCGGUUUUGUAAGUCUUAUGUGAAAUCUAUGGGCUCAACUCAUAGACUGCAUGAGAAACUGCAGGGCUUGAGUAUGGGAGAGGUGAGUGGAAUUCCAGGUGUAGCGGUGAAAUGCGUAGAUAUCUGGAGGAACACCGGUGGCGAAGGCGGCAUCCUGGACCAACACUGACACUGAGGAGCGAAAGCCAGGGGAGCAAACGGG